rnacentral:rRNA from 1 species
UACGUAGGGGGCUAGCGUUGCUCGGAAUCACUGGGCGUAAAGCGCACGUAGGCGGACUCUUAAGUCGGUGGUGAAAUCCUGGAGCUCAACUCCAGAACUGCCUUUGAUACUGAAGAUCUUGAGUUCGGGAGAGGUGAGUGGAACUGCGAGUGUAGAGGUGAAAUUCGUAGAUAUUCGCAAGAACACCAGUGGCGAAGGCGGCUCACUGGCCCGAUACUGACGCUGAGGCACGAAAGCGUGGGGAGCAAACAGG